CUACGGGUCGCUGCAGUGGGGAAUAUUGCACAAUGGACGAAAGUCUGAUGCAGCAACGCCGCGUGGAGGAUGACACUUUUCGGAGCGUAAACUCCUUUUAUAUAGGAAGAUAAUGACGGUACUAUAUGAAUAAGCACCGGCUAACUCCGUGCCAGCAGCCGCGGUAAUACGGAGGGUGCAAGCGUUACUCGGAAUCACUGGGCGUAAAGAGCGUGUAGGCGGAUAGAUAAGUCAGGAGUGAAAUCCUAUGGCUCAACCAUAGAACUGCUCUUGAAACUGUCUAUCUAGAAUAUGGGAGGGGUAGAUGGAAUUUCUGGUGUAGGGGUAAAAUCCGUAGAGAUCAGAGGGAAUACCGAUUGCGAAGGCGAUCUACUGGAACAUUAUUGACGCUGAGACGCGAAAGCGUGGGGAGCAAACAGGAUUAGAUACCCCUGUAGUC
rnacentral:rRNA from 1 species